rnacentral:rRNA from 1 species
AGAACGAACGCUGGCGGCAUGCCUAAUACAUGCAAGUCGAACGAACACUUCGGUGUUAGUGGCGCACGGGUGCGUAACGCGUGGGAAUCUGCCCUUGGGUUCGGAAUAACAGUUGGAAACGACUGCUAAUACCGGAUGAUGACGAAAGUCCAAAGAUUUAUCGCCCAGGGAUGAGCCCGCGUAGGAUUAGCUAGUUGGUGAGGUAAAGGCUCACCAAGGCGACGAUCUGUAGCUGGUUUGAGAGGACGACCAGCCACACUGGGACUGAGACACGGCCCAGACUCCUACGGGAGGCAGCAGUGGGGAAUUUUGGACAAUGGGGGAAACCCUGAUCCAGCCAUCCCGCGUGUGCGAUGAAGGCCUCGGUUGUAAGCACUUUGG